AGGUAAGUGAUAUACUGGAUAGUUAGAGAUGCUUGAGCGGUUCUAGUAGUUCCUGCAUCCGUGGAAAGUUAGUGUGUGUUUCUCAGGACAUCUUAGGAAAGUCACAGUUCACUUAGGUAAACUGAUUAUAGAACAGUUUAGUAAGAGUUGCCUCCAAACUAUUAGCGAUUUUUCCCUUGCUGAGUGCAGCAUCUUCAUCUGAUCUGUCCUUCCCAACAGGCUCACUUUAUACUAGUUCUCCUCUUCCCAGCUAUGUCCCUCUUUCCCACCUGAAUUAGUUUAAGCAAGCUGGUCAUUCAGCUUCCCCAAGAGCUGGUCCCAGGACACAGGCAGACAGCACAGUCCCUUCUUUCUGGCUGCAGAAACAUGCAGUCAUCACGAGAGGCCCAUGCCUGGGGUCUGGCUCAUCUGCGGCUCUCCUCUUUAUUUGACAUAUGAAGACCUUACUACCAAGGUCUUCACAUCCCUCAGACCUCCUAUCCCCAGUCUUGAGGCAGAAAGGAAAUGCAGCCACAACAGGUGACAAGACCUAGCAGAGAUAGCCAGACCUCAGCCUAGGCUGGAACUAGCAGGAGGGGCCAACAGGAACUCUAGGAGAAAUUUUUAGCUGUGCCUCUCUCAGGGUACUGAAGAUCAGAGAACAUGUGAGAGCUACAAGUACUGCACAGCUAGCUGUACUAGCAAGCCAAGCUCCAUCUCCACACUCCAUGGAGUCCUAUGCAUACCCUCUCAUCAGGACUUGUCCUCCAUGUGCCUUACCUCAUCAAGGCCCCUUUCCUCAGCAUGUGUCUUGUGUCAGCACGUGCAUCCAAUCAGCGCAAGUCCUUGGAAGCAGCAACAAACUACACUCCACCACAAGUAGUUUUUUUGGUGCCUUUCUCUCUAUGGCAUCCCGACAAAUGCUGCUCAACGAAUCAAUGUAAAGCAGACCAAUACAUGCAUGUCUUUACCAAAGAAUCCUUCAUCAUGUUUUCUUUCACGUGCUUGCUUUACAAAAACAUACUUUCUCUCUCCUGUGUCUACUUCAGCAAAGCACUCCUUCACAUGUUUGCCCCAACAAAACACUAUCCUACAGACUUUCCAAAGAACCCUUAAGUUUCCACAUCACGAGUGGGAUCUGCAGAGCACAUUUCACACAAUAACUCAUCUUCCUGACAGAGCAGACAAAAUAAGGAUGGAACACACCUGGACACAACUUGUCAAGUAUCUCAAAAUUGGCAGGGAGAACAGGGAUCCACAUUUGUCUUGGAGAUUCUGAAGAGCACUGUAUC
rnacentral:lncRNA from 1 species